AGCCUUAUAGUCAAUUAUAUGAUGUUAGACUGCAAUUCUAGAGUAGUAGCAUACACCUACAAAGGCUU
rnacentral:tRNA from 1 species